CGCUGGCGGCGUGCUUAACACAUGCAAGUCGAACGAUGAAGCCCUUCGGGGUGGAUUAGUGGCGAACGGGUGAGUAACACGUGGGCAAUCUGCCCUUCACUCUGGGACAAGCCCUGGAAACGGGGUCUAAUACCGGAUACCACUCCUGCCUGCAUGGGCGGGGGUUGAAAGCUCCGGCGGUGAAGGAUGAGCCCGCGGCCUAUCAGCUUGUUGGUGGGGUAGUGGCCCACCAAGGCGACGACGGGUAGCCGGCCUGAGAGGGCGACCGGCCACACUGGGACUGAGACACGGCCCAGACUCCUACGGGAGGCAGCAGUGGGGAAUAUUGCACAAUGGGCGAAAGCCUGAUGCAGCGACGCCGCGUGAGGGAUGACGGCCUUCGGGUUGUAAACCUCUUUCAGCAGGGAAGAAGCGAAAGUGACGGUACCUGCAGAAGAAGCGCCGGCU
rnacentral:rRNA from 1 species